UACGAAGGGGGCUAGCGUUGCUCGGAAUCACUGGGCGUAAAGCGCGCGUAGGCGGCUUUGUAAGUUAGAGGUGAAAGCCCGGAGCUCAACUCCGGAAUUGCCUUUAAGACUGCAUCGCUAGAAUCAUGGAGAGGUUAGUGGAAUUCCGAGUGUAGAGGUGAAAUUCGUAGAUAUUCGGAAGAACACCAGUGGCGAAGGCGACUAACUGGACAUGUAUUGACGCUGAGGUGCGAAAGCGUGGGGAGCAAACAGG
rnacentral:rRNA from 1 species